rnacentral:rRNA from 1 species
UACGUAGGAUGCAAGCGUUACCCGGAAUCAUUGGGCGUAAAGCGUGUGUAGGUGGUUGGUCGCGUCGACUGUUAAAUCUUCGGGCUUAACCCGGAAACCGCAGUCGAUACGGGCCGACUAGAGGUCGCAAGAGGGCAUUGGAAUUCCCGGUGGAGCAGUGAAAUGCGUAGAUAUCGGGAGGAACACCGAUGGCGAAGGCAGAUGCCUGGGGCGAACCUGACACUGAGACACGAAGGCCAGGGGAGCAAACGGG